rnacentral:tRNA from 1 species
GCGGGUAUGACUCUGUGGCAGAGUGUGUGCUUGGCAUGCAUGAGGUCCUGGGUUCAAUCCCCAGUGCCUCUG